GCUGUGGGGCUCAGUGGUAGUGCACUUACCUGGCAUGUGUGAGGCACUGGGUUCAAUUCUCAGCACCACG
rnacentral:tRNA from 1 species